AACGAACGCUGGCGGCAGGCUUAACACAUGCAAGUCGAACGAGAAGCUUUCCUUCGGGGAAGUGGAAAGUGGCAGACGGGUGAGUAACGCGUGGGAACGUGCCUUUCGGUUCGGGAUAACUCAGGGAAACUUGGGCUAAUACCGAAUACGCCCUCCGGGGGAAAGAUUUAUCGCCGAAAGAUCGGCCCGCGUCGGAUUAGCUUGUUGGUGAGGUAAAAGCUCACCAAGGCGACGAUCCGUAGCUGGUCUGAGAGGAUGAUCAGCCACACUGGGACUGAGACACGGCCCAGACUCCUACGGGAGGCAGCAGUGGGGAAUAUUGGACAAUGGGCGCAAGCCUGAUCCAGCCAUGCCGCGUGGGUGAAGAAGGCCUUAGGGUUGUAAACCCCUUUCAGCGGGGAAGAUAAUGACGGUACCCGCAGAAGAAGCCCCGGCUAACUCCGUGCCAGCCGCCGCGGUAA
rnacentral:rRNA from 1 species